CAGUAGCCGCGGGAAUACGAAGGGGGCUAGCGUUGCUCGGAAUGACUGGGCGUAAAGGGCGCGUAGGCGGAUUGUUUAGUUAGGCGUGAAAUUCCUGGGCUUAACCUGGGGACUGCGCUUAAUACAGGCAGUCUAGAGUGAGGAAGAGGGUUGUGGAAUUCCCAGUGUAGAGGUGAAAUUUGUAGAUAUCGGAAGGAACACCUGUGGCGAAAGCGGCUCACUGGACCAUAACUGACGCUGAUGCACGAAAGCUAGGGGAGCAAACAGGAUUAGAUACCCCUGUAGUCCCUGUCUCUUAUAC
rnacentral:rRNA from 1 species